rnacentral:rRNA from 1 species
GACGAACGCUGGCGGCGUGCUUAACACAUGCAAGUCGAACGGUGAAGCGCCUUCCUUUUUGGUGGGUGUGGAUGAGUGGCGAACGGGUGAGUAACACGUGAGUAACCUGCCCCCUUCUUCUGGAUAACCGCAUGAAAGUGUGGCUAAUACGGGAUAUUCUGGGUCUGUCGCAUGAUGGGUCUGGGAAAGAUAUUGUUUCGGUGGGGGAUGGGCUCGCGGCCUAUCAGCUUGUUGGUGGGGUGAUGGCCUACCAAGUCGGUGACGGGUAGCCGGCCUGAGAGGGUGGACGGUCACACUGGGACUGAGACACGGCCCAGACUCCUACGGGAGGCAGCAGUGGGGAAUAUUGCACAAUGGGCGCAAGCCUGAUGCAGCGACGCCGCGUGAGGGAUGGAGGCCUUCGGGUUGUGAACCUCUUUCGCCAGUGAAGCAGGCCUGCCUCGUUUGUGGGUGGGUUGACGGUAGCUGGAUAAGAAGCGCCGGCUAACUACGUG